GGGUGAGCGGCAUUCUAGCGACAGCUCGGAAGUCGAUAUUUCUUCAAUGCGACAAGUAAUUACAAAAGGCCAGGACGGGUAUAGCGAGGAUAUUGACAGCCCCUGAAAUUUAUGCAGAGACAGAAAAGACAGUUAACCAUUGAUUAAAGCAAUUAACGCGCCCAGUUUUAACAAGGCCUUUAUUUACCUGGCCUGGUGGCAGUUUUUAUUUCUACAGCCGCAGCGAACGACGCGCCAUCUUGGCGCAAAACGUUCCCGCUCACCC
rnacentral:misc_RNA from 1 species